GAUGAAUAACGUAGCGAAAUGCGAUACUUGGUGUGAAUUGCAGAAUCCCGUGAACCAUCGAGUCUUUGAACGCAAGUUGCGCCCGAAGCCAUUAGGCCGAGGGCACGCCUGCCUGGGCGUCACACGUCGUUGCCCCCCCAUCUAAUCCUUCGGGAUUGCGGGGGGCGGAUGAUGGCCUCCCGUGCGCCUCGUCGCGCGGUUGGCAUAAAUGCCAAGUCCUCGGCGACGCACGCCACGACAAUCGGUGGUUGCGAAACCUCGGUUGCCCGUCGUGUGCGGUCGUCGCGCAUCGAGGGCUCGAAAAAAUUGCCGGGCUCCGGCUCGACUUUCAACGCGACCCCAGGUCAGGCGGGGUUACCCGCUGAAUUUAAGCAUAUCAAUAAGCGGAGGA
rnacentral:misc_RNA from 1 species